GGGAAACACAAGUAAACAGUGGACGUCUGUUGCACAACAGCACGCAGUCACGCAGAGUGCUGGAGACAGCGGUUUCGCUUCAGCUCUCCUCUCCUCUCUUGGUGAAAAUCCAGCUGGACGGGCCAAAAUUUCAUCCCUGAGACGGGGAGCUGUUUGGAUUUCUUUUUCUCUGUAAGUUGAAUUUAAGGCAACGGCUCAAAGUGAGUCUCCUCUGGUCAAACAAACCAUACAUUCAGCCUCUGUGCAUGUUUUCAGAUCCCUCUAUUUUUACUCUCUCUGAACAUUUUGUUUUUCUGUGGCACAAGUCACACUUUCCACAGCUCUAUUUCUGUGUACGGGUUAAAGUGCACUGCAGACAAAAGAAAGAAACCACUCAGCUGGCUUCCUUCCUGUUUUCUCACAUGGUGCCUACUACUUCAGAGUAGAAGCGAAAAACAAUGUAUACACGCCGCAUAUGACUACACCGGUGUUGCAUGGGUGAUUUCGCCAAAACGCACCCUGGAGAGCUCUUUAGGCCAUUAAGUGUGGUUUUAUAAAGCUGGAAAAUAAAUUGAGUGUUUCACAGGACAGAGAAUACUUUCCCCUGCAGAGCGUGCAUGUUCAGCGCGUCUCGUUCUAACCUGGGGAAGGCACACAGCACAGUGGUUCUGCACUGUUUGUGCAUCAGCAGAUUGCACCUCCGAGCUUUUAAAAGCUUUUAAAGUUCUUGUGUUUUUCUACGGCUGGGGAAUAAAUGGAGUAUUUCUUAAGAACGAAAAUACCUGUUCCUGGAAAGUCUACAGGCAGAAGUGCGAGCUCUGCAUGCAGCUCUCAUCCUCCAAGUUUACCUCAGUCAUUCUCUUAAUAGCUCUCUUCUCCUGUUUAUUACCCCCCAUUAUACUGCUGAUGAAACGAAUAAAUCACUGUGGAGAUGUUAAAGCUUGUGCUUUUAGUCCAGGUAGUCUUAUACAAUGACGAAACAAGGCAGCUUUAUGAAGACCUACAGUAUAUGUAUUUUUUGUGCUAAUCUGUUUGAUGUUUUUUGUAACCUUCAUUAUACCUGCCCACGGACACGGGUUGGAAAACUAUGCAGUGAAGACUAAACUUAGACAUCUACGAUAAAAAUGUAUGAUAGGCUGGAGCAAAAAAGUAUAUUCAUGAUAAAAAUCUUGUACCACAGCUGCUGAUAUCAGAAAAAAAAAAAAAAUCACCAAUAAGGGGCAUAACUGGAUUUUGUCCACUGGAGGCACUCUAGAGAAGACUUUGUUAACAUUUGGUACCGAUGAAGAGCAACCAGAGGUCACUUUGUUUCAUUUUUAUACCGAUGAAGGGCACCAAGAAGUCACUUUGUUUGUAUUUUAUAGACAAGAAGAGCGUCUAUCACAUUUGAUCCAUUUGUACAUGUGGAUAAUAUGUCGCUGUAGACUGUAUGUGACCAUAGAAUCGUAGAAAAGGUUGCACUCAUGUUGUCAUGUUUUGUCCAUGAGCACAUUUACCUGUAAAAUACAUCCUUAUCAAAAUAUAUAUAUUUAUUUUUUAUUUUCAUUGAAAUUUACUGCAUCUCUGAUUGUGAACACUAUGUUAUUAAUGCAGCCAUCUUUUAUGAUGUCUCAGGAACUCUUGAAAUUAUUGAUGAGGUUUAAAGUUUCAGUGAACAUAGAAAUCAUGUGACACUUUUUCAGUUUCAUUAAUGAUGCAUAUUUUAUAGAUUGUAAAACAGUCAGUCAUAAGUGACUCCUGCUCCUAAAGACAGAGCUUCAUUCUCUCCAUACAGCCUCUAAAGAGGAGGUUAAAGUUUUCUGUUGUUAAACUUUGGUGAUGUGAAGUUACAGUAAAAUUUGAGUCGCUUUAAUGACCUGUUAGUGAGAGACAUUUCCUACCAGUGUGUCUGUCUGUCUGUCUGUCUGCUCGGGAAUCCUUGGUUGCCUCUCCUCUAAGCUGCAGUAAAGACCAUGGGACAGUCCCUUACAUGGUGGGUCUGGGACUACUCAGAGUUCAGCUGAGGAUGGAGGACCAAGUAGAAAUCAGUUUAGUCUCCAUCAUGAAAUGUGAAUUUAUCCUAACUCCUGGUCAACAGAGCGACACAUUUCUCUAAAGCGAAUGUGUAAUUGGGGAAAAAAAAAUCUUCUCCUGUGACAGAGUUGAAAAUGGGCAGUUACAACCACAGUGCUGUUUGCUGUAAACAUGUUUACUUCCGCUGUAAAGAUGAACAUUUUCAUAUGUGUGUUGAUGGGGUGUCUUGGACUCUUAGGGUCUGAUCUACUAAAGGUUUGCGUGUGCAAAAAUAGGUGCAAAUUUGAUAGAGCGUGCAAAGCUGAUCUACUAAUCAGGUACACCAAGGGUUGCAUCUGUCAAAUGAGCAAAACAGCGCGCGCAAUCGAUUUAGCGUGUUUCAUGAAUAUGAAGCUUGUAUGUACAUCAUCAGAACAUGCAAAAUUCUGGGAGGAGCAAAUGCAAAUAGAAUCAUUUAGCACCCGCAAUGUGAUUUAUCAAACCUGAAACUGAUUGCGGUCGCUGUUUUGCUUUUAUAUUUAGCACGUUUAAAAGACACGUGCAAACUGGCACAGUGUUAUGCACAGAUUGCUGCAGUCAUUGCAGGAGAAGGAGGCAGAAGUGCAAAGGCGUUUUUCUGUUAAAUGACGGUUUCGAUAAAUAACUAGGUCAAACACAGAACAGUCGCAAAUAUUUAUCUUUUAUGCAGUUCCCCAAACCAAUUGGUGCAACCCCAUAACUUCAAACUUUAUUUUUCAUCCAUGAUCAUUCUGCUCUCACAAACUCUCCAUGCUUACAGCCGAUAGCGCAUGCAAAAUCAUUGUUUAGAGAAGGUGGUCCACACCACUUUAGCUCCUGUUAUCAAGUGCACAUGCAAUGAUAAUAGAUCACCUGUGACACACCCACUAAUAGCAUGUGCAAUUUUUUUGUUUGCGCACGGAAUUUAGCGUUCACUAUUUGGGACCUUAGUAGAUCAGGCCCUUAGAGUCAGUAGUGGUCACUUAGAGAACUGCGGUCUUUAAACUUUUGCACUGGAAACAUUUUGAGCACCAAAGUUUGCUGCAUCAUACUGCCUGAGCUACUACCAUUUUCAAUGUAACAGUUUUUAACAAGUUGAGUAUGUAUGUGAUGUUUGUUUUUGAGACCCUUAUAAAGAAAAGAAAAUUGAUAUUCCGAGAGUAAAACUGUCACGUGUAAAACCGGAAUCCAGCCUGAGAGAAAAAGCAGGUCAGACAGAACUGUGAGUUCUUUCAGAAUAAAAAAGUUAAUAUGAUAUUUUAAACUCUCAAUACAUUUAGUCAUUGGAGAAAUAAAAGCACUACUUUCAAAGAGAUUUACACAUCUGAGAACAUACACACUGAAACUCACAAACUCUUGAUCUCUUACAGGAAAAAUACACACUCUACACUAGCAUUAGUCCACUUUUCCAGUACUGUAAAACUAUACCCUGUUCUCUGUGCAUUAAUCAUAUACUGCCAAUCAAAGUCUGUCUCUAUACGUUGAGGUUUUCUGAUUACCCUCCUCUCUUAGCCUCAGUGUAUGCAGCCUGUUGUAAACACAUACAGCACAGACUUUUACAUUUCCACUGAACAAAUAGUCUGCGUGUAAAUCAUAGCUUUUGUUUUUUUCUUAGACAAGAGAAUUAAGUUUCUCAUAACUAAUCGUAUGCAAGGAACUUGGUACUAAGCCAACAAUAAACUUCUAUGGCCCAGUGUAACAUCUGAAAUGUCUGUAUUGUCCAAUCAAAAGCCAAAGGACUUCUAAUUAAGGACGGUAAACAACAAGUAAGGCAACUAAAUAUAAACUAGGUAAGAAGAGCGGCUUGUCAAAACAUGCAGAAUGACAGUUAGUGAUUACAGUUGGAGAACUACAGCAUGCAAGAGUAGGAUGAAAGGUUAAAAGAGAUCCUGUUUAGCUUCAAGCUGCGUUUUUGUACCAGAGAAAACUUUGCUGUCAAUCACAUGAAAAACUCCUCUGAAAAAUCCCAAAGUUAACCCCACUGCAGCAGCUCAGUGCUCAACAGGCUUCACGACAAAUUACAGCAUGUGAUCAUGAUCGCACAAACAAUCCAGCCCCCCGGCCCCCCAGAACAUCACAUGAUCAAACAGUGAGGUGUUGCCUGCAUGAGAGUGGAGGGGUUUGCCUGUCAGAGAUAGCCCAUGUGGUUGUGUUGACUGCGUCCUCCGAGGAAUGCUGAUAAGGCUCGGCGACGCAAUCCCCUGAGCUCGCAGGGUCUCAGCACAUGAGCGGAGAUUCAUCAAAACAUAUGUGAAGUGGACUUGUGGCUGAUGGAGGGCCUGAUAUCCUCUCCUCUGGUCUUCAUUAGACGGAGGAAUGGGGGGAAGGCAAGGGGGUUCCCCACCACAGGGACUACAGCGCUUGGAGCUCCAGUUCCCAGCAACUGGGUCAGGCAGAGUGGAGCCACCGCAUUUACACAUCUGAUCUGGCAACCAAGGCCUGUGUAUACAUCUCUGCUUUAUUAGGGGCCCUGAUUCAGCGUCCACUGUUGUUUUUUCAUAUAUCGUUCGCAAUAAGGGUCCAGUUUGCAAAAAACUAAAGUUGGUUAAACACUUGUCCUUUUCCAUCUAUAUUAAACAAUUUAUGUGCUAUCAUCUUGAGAGAAGAGAAAUAAACUGUAUUAAACUCUUCUACUUUAGUGAAGAGAGAAACAAAGACAACAACAACAGACGCUUUCAUGAAGGUUACGUCUUGUGACUGUCGCCUGAAUAACUUUCUCUACUUUUGUAACUUUGAGUCUUUAUUGUUUGACAGAGGUAUUGUACCUUACUUCCAAAGAUGAAAAACAGCCCGCUGAGCCAAAUCAGGGAAUUCUGUAUUUCACCACACGGAGCAUCAUCUUUCAGUGCUGCACAAACGGCCUACAAAAGAAAUCAUUCAUGAGAUCUAGGACGGGUUACUGCCGACUCCCUGAAUGAUUCCAAUUCAAACUCAUACGGCUGUGAAUCGACUUCCAGUUCAGCUCAGUUUAGUGGUAUUAUAUUCAAAGUCUCUGUUUUUAUAUUAAUUUGAAGAGGUUUUCUGAGAGCAGUUGUAAAUUGUACGAGGGUCAUUCUGAUCAAAGUUACAUGGUUGUUUUUUGUAAUUCAUUCUUUAACUUUACUCUCCUAACAGUCUUGUACGAACUGUUGUCUUAAGUCUCAACACUGUAGUGUCUUAUUGAGUUUUACACAUGCACGUGCAUUCCUAUGUUCAUGUUCACAAAUUGAUGUUACACCCCAUCUUUUUACCUACUUCAUCAAUGAAUCGUACACACAUAUAUCUAAUAAGUGUAAACAUUAAUACUAAGCUGUUUAUGUAAGUUAUUUUGACGUUGGCCGCAAAGGAUUAACCGAUCAUUUUACAAUGAAUAACAUACUGUCAGAACAAACCUCAGGGUUUACUGUGUUGAUGCUAUUUCACCUCUGCCUACAGUUUUAGGAUCGCCACUUCAUUAAAUGCUUGCAUGUGUGAAUGGAAACAAAAUGAGGCUUUGGAGGCCAGAAUUAUCAACAAUGCUCAAUGUAAAUCCUCACUUAUUAAAGCUGAAACAGAUGGUGACAUACACCAUAUCUUCUCCCAUGGGGACUGUGUAUCUGGGUAAUGCCUCUUUGAACGGUUUCAGAGAUCGACAGUCUCUUACGUUCGUGUUGCCUAAAGUCUUAUGUAUGUCCAGCUCCUCUCUGUCUUUGGGGUUUGUGCUUAACCAUUUUAUAAACUGUUAUUAUGACAGUCUGUGUGAUUAUUUUAGUUUAUUUUUUUUUCAGGAUAAAAAUAACUUUAAAAUCUAGCAAGUAUUUGUCAUUAUGUUAUAAACGCUUUAAAUUGUGAAAUGACAAAAAAGGAAAAAAGACACCUAGAGCUCUCUGGGUGUUUGCCUACAGCUCUCCGUGUCCAUGCUACAGGUUGUUUUAACCGUCCAUGUCCUGCCCCUUUUUUGGCCGCAGUGAAAGUCUUUGAAGCAGUUCCUGUCCAGCUGAAGACAGAGCCCGACCUUGCACUCCUCACACAUCCAGGGUGUGCUUCUUUUGCCGAGAGUGUGCUGUUUCCUCCCCAGACUUGCCCUCUGUCUUCCCUCAGUGUCCUCUCUGCUGCUGGUGGGGACAGGAAAGUGGCCUUGAGUGGGGGGCUUGGGUAGGCCAGUCAGUGGCUUUGCACACAACUCCUCCUGGUAAGCCUGGCGUGUCAUUGGCUUCUACUGAGCAAAAAUCUCAUCUGGUGUUGUGGUGCCAGUGGUCAGAGGGAGUUGGACACCAGGGCUGUGAUUGGGGAUGAAUCUGGGUGGGUGAGGGUUGGCAAUGUCAGGGUCUGCUUCCAUGUUUCAGGCCUCUUGAAGUUGUGUUGACCAUCAUCACCAGCAGCAUCAACACCUCUACUGCUUCAGCCUCGCCACAGAGCCUACCCCAUCUCCACCUCGUACCAGUGCUGGUACUGGUAAAUGUCUACAAAAUUACUACCAAGAAACUCCAUGAACUAUGGCAAAGACAGAGUUGGGGUAACGCACUACAAAGUAACGGGCAGUGACAAAAGAAAGUAACGCACUACACUAAAAAAAUCAGUAACUUAAUUACUUUACUAAACAAUGCACCUUUAUGUGUUACAGAAAAUUAAGAAAUGGGAAGGUAAAGUAAUAAGUAGUGAAGUUACUUUUCAAAUGUAACUUGAUAAAUAAUCUCAUUACAAUUUACAGAAAUAACGAGUUACUAGAAACAAAUAACUUUUUAUGAGUAACUACCCCGACACUGGGCGUAGAUACGUGAAACAUUAGCAAAAGGACAAAGAUAGAUAAAAGUGUUCUUACAUACAAAUAAAUACUAAAUAAAAACAAAUUAAAUAAAUAAAAAAAAAACAAAGACAGCUCUAACUAUCUAGGCAAAGACAGGAGUCUCUCACAUCAGGGACUGAACUGACCCCUCCAUCCACCCAGACCUACUUUUGCAGACUUUGUGGCCCAACACUGAACUAUUUCCUCAGAUCAGGCGGAUCAGAGUUAUAAUUCCCAAGGCUUUGUGCAGCACCUCUUCCAAAUUUGGUUCGGAGCGCAAGAUGUAGGGUCAAGUAGUCAGUAAAUAUGUUAUCUAUUUGGCAAACAGGACUUUUUGAUGUCAGUCUUUGGACUUUAGACUAAAUACAGGAUUCAAAUGGAACAAGCUCUAAAUAUGGUGCGAUUGCACUCAUGGUACAUUGGCUUCAAUUGGCUUCAAAAGCUCAGAGGUGGGAAACAGGUUUAGAUUUAAAGAAGGUGAAAGUGUGCACAAAGCUAAUAAAGCCUACUACACAGCCAUCCACACAUCUAUCCAUCACACUCCCACAUUUUCAACCCUGCAGAUACCAUCAAAGGUAAGCAAUAAAGUGACUUCCACAUAUAAUGAAACAGAAGACACUGAAAGUAUAUUUUGGAUGUAUACUCUGCUAUCUGUAAAUGACGAUAGGCAUGGGGCGGGUCUUUUUUUAUUUUGUAAGCGCUCUGGUUUCUGUUUGUAUUCGGGUCUCAUUGGCUAUACAAGGAAUAACAGAGAGGAAAAAUGAACCCUAGAACACAUCGACAUUGUCUAUGAGCAGUUCAGCUUUCACAUGUAAUUGCUGUAGAUAAUGAGACAGAAAACACUACGCUGGUCCACAUUUGAAUAUGCACAUCUUUUAUACAAUGCUAAGAUGUAUACCUUGGCAGGGUUUCCAAACAUGAGGUGGAUGGACGUUGGCAUGAUCCCAGGAUGUGUUUUUGGUUUCCCUGAACAGCUUGUUUCAAGACCUUCACAAGACUUGGCCUGACCCUGACACAUUAUUAGUACAAUACUAAAGGACACACCCACCCCGACAUGCUUUCAAAGACACCCGCAUGAGAGGUCUUCUACAUUUGACCAGCUUGUUAACUGAAGUCAUAAUGUAUUUAACCUCUAAGGACAUUUUUUUUGACAGAUUGAAAAAGUAAAGUGCAAGAGAAAAAAAAACCUUUGACAUAAGAUUGUUCAAUUUUUUCUUUUUUUGCUGAAGAUGUGUUUGGUUGCUAAGUUUUGUUUACCACUGUGUUAACCCUGCAUAUCUACUGACUCUGCUUUUCCUUUAAUAACUUUCAUAUUGGAACCUUGUAAAGAAGACUGGAUCUGUACGAAGAGAAAAAAUAAAUCUCUGUAAUAAUAUACUCUGUAAUCAUGUUUCUCGUGGAAGAACACAAGGAUUAAGUUGUUUUUGAAAGAAAACCUUUUGCUUAGAAAUAAGCAGCGCGCUCUACAGCUUUAGGGUCAUUUACUAAAUGGCCUUCAUGAUGAUCUAAGAUUACUGUAGAACCGUAGCUGCGGAAUAAUGGAGCAGCGUCAGUCCUCUCGCUGGUUCAGAGAACAUGAAAAAAAGUCCACAGAUGGCUCACAGAGCUUAUUUCAUCUAUUAAUUGAGGCCUGUUGCCUGGUACCUGCUCCACGUUUUAUGCACAAUAAUGACUUAAUGGCAGAGGUUAAUUUUCUAAUGACUACCCUGCUAAAAUUUGAAACAACAAAAUUGCUCGAUGUUCCUGUAGUGCCGGGGCUUAAUGGGCAGGUGGGCGGUGGAACAAAGCUGAUUGAAAGUAAUGAUGGUAAUCAUUAGGAAAAGCAUGGGUAUUAAUACUAGGAUGAAGGUAAACAUAGCUGCAUUUGCAUUUUAUGCAUUUGCACCUGUCUGUUACCCAAUCACCUAAUUGAAGACAAUGGCAAAGCAUUUAGUCUUUUGCUUCAUUUGUUCCCUCUUACAGUCACAGUUUCUAGUAUUUCUCACACUUCACACCUUCACAGCGACAACGUUUGUUCUCAGUGUCCACAGGUGAGCUCAGUUCAACGAGUCCCAGCUCGACAUGAAACAGGAGGAGAGGUAGUGUUGCAUGGUUCGGUGUGAAUGUGCUUCUAUUCAUAUCCAAUAUUCAUGGUUUGAGUGGCCAUACUGUUGGCAGUCAUUAGUGCACUUACUGCCAUCUCACUCCGAGGCUCAUCACACAGUCACUCAAGACAUGUUCCCCUGCAAUAAACAUGAGCCUGUCAUCUGCUAAGAGUCUGAACACAUCACUACCUUUUCUCCGCAAGGCCUUUAAAAUUAGAAAGGUGUUAGAACAACCCUAUUAAGAUUGGAACAUUUUCAUUUCAAGUAAAAAUUGAUGACAGCUACAGCAGGUUAUGGGAGGAUAAAACAGGAGAGAAAAAAACAUGAUUGGCUUGGAUAUGGGACAAUCUUGGAUAUAAGGUGGGAUUCUCAGAUCAUGUCUGUGAAGAAAAACCUGUCAGUAAAGAUCUAACGAACAUAUUGGUUAUUUAAAAAUAGAUAUAUAUUUUAUUUAUUCAAACAAAACAGGUGAUAAUAGGUGUAAAUUAAACACCAAUGCCAUAAGAAAAAAAAAACAAAAACGCAGUAAGCCUCAGUCAUUCAAAAUACGUCUACAAAAUGCUUUGAGUUGGAAAUAUGACUAUUAUGGACUGAUUUGGCAAAAAAAAAAUGUCUUAACUGUAAUUUUGAGGAGGCUGCAUAUAAAGCCACUGUGACAAAUAUAGGAUGGUAAUUACACCCAUUAAAAUAUUAUUCAUAGUUACUAUUUUGCACUAGUGAAACUUUAUGUAAUAGCUGUAAUAAAGAACAAUCUGUGCUGGAGAUUUGGCAGAUAGGAACCUCACUGCACGCACUUUUUAUAGAAACAGUUAUGAGAGGUGGAGUGAGGGACUUGGGGAAAUCCAUGCCAGAAGCUCCAUAACUUUGUCGCCUGGGGUGGGUCAAGAUUACCACCUGGUAAUGGGGGAUGGGUAUAUACCUUUGUGCAGUACAGCAACAUACCUAGAUGUAUAUUUCCACUCUAUUAUUUUAUGUCUUAGCUGUCUCUACCACACUGGUAUGUAUUUUCUUCAAAAAAUAAAAAAAUAAAAAACUCAGCCUCAGUUGUUGGUUAACUUGUCCUACUUCUCACCGUGUCACUCUGUGUCACAGUGAGUGACUGCUGGCCUCAGCCAUGAGGGUACACUCACUUUACAGAUAAGUGGCGCCGUUCACAAUCGUGAAUGUCUAUUGACAUUUGAAUACCAAGUCCCACUGACCAGACCUACUUUUCUCAGACACAUUCAAAAGAAAACAUCUAAAAUUCCAGUUAAUACAGAAACAUAUAUUUUAUAUAUAUAUAUAUAUAUAUAUAUAUAUAUAUAUAUAUAUAUAUAUGUCUGAGAAAAGUAGGUCUUUACAUUUACAUUUUUACAUUAUUUACAUUUUUGGUGAAAUUUGGCUACUCUGUAAAAAUCAUUUUAACAUCAUUGAUGUGAAGUCUUGGCGCACCCACAGCUCAGACAUAUUCGGGUCACAAGGAAUCGAAACAAUCAAAUUAUGUGAACCAGGCAUGUGCAGAUUGCGACGGCUGAUUCUAAUGUGAUGGGGAUGGAAGGGGAGAUCAACUUUGUUAUCCAGGUACGUCAACUCGACUGUGAGAAAUUCAAUUUCAUCCAACUAAUGUGUUUACAUGAUUCUUUUAAAGUCCAGUUUCAGUCGGAGUCAGACAACAAAUCAAUUAUUAUGAAGAUGUAAAUACAAUAAGAACUUUAUUCAUCCCUGAGGGGAUAUUCCAUGUACUGAGUGAUGAGAACAAACCCGACUGGUUGGAAAGAUCGGUCAGAAUUCGUGAUUAAACCAGUAGAUGUUGUCAAGUCCUGUUGUACGCCUUGCAUCAUUGGCUUGUGUUAAAGUAGAUUGAAAUAGUGAGUCUGAUGAAUAGAACAUUUUUGUGUUCUAGCUGUUGAGUGACUGCAUUCUCUCUGCAAAUUUACCGCUCUUGGGUUCAAUGGUAUAUUCAGGGGUCUUGGCUCACUGCUCAGCACCCUCAGAAAUAAAACACGUUUCAUUAAGAAUCUACUUCUACUUCAACAACACAUGAAACGCUCCAAGAGACAAGAUAUCAGCACUACAAACCAUGAUCCCGCUCUGUAAAGCUGUGUGUCUGUUAUUGACUCACUCGGUGAAUCCAGGUGAAUGCCAUCAUAUUGACACCAGGCUGUCGAUAAACAAGCCAGCUAAUGGAGAACUUUAAACUGGAGCAUCAACUCUGCGGUCUAAAAACACAGACUGUUCUUCCUACUGCAGGACUUUGUGUAUGUUGGAUGGUUUAUGAAAUCAUUUGAUUAAUAACCUGCUUAGUAAACAAUGCAAAUGUUUUGUGUCUUUAAUAAUCUGACAUUACUUGCAGUAUCUCAGGAAAACUCCUCUAUGGUUCUUCAUACACGGCAAAACAGUAAAAUAUAUUUUAAAAAACAAACUAAAAAAAAAACAGUAAAAGAACAUUAUAAAUGCUGAAAAAGUGCUUUUCAUGCGAAUUUAAAACACAUGUGCUUGAUAGUUUCAUAAAAAAGGAAAACUGGGUCAACAUUUUCUUUAGAUGUUUGCAGCUACUUUUAUAUGGACUUCUUUUGGCCUGAACUCUCAGAGGGAUUAUAUCUUACAGAGACACCUACCAAGUAAACAUUUAUAUUCAAAGACAAAAUAACUACUCUGUUUUUUUUAUCUCUUCAUCAGAAGAUUUAACAUCCUCAGAUCAAGUUCAAACGUUUCCUCCUGUUACUGCUUGAUCUCAGCGCUCAUCAGAGGCAGAUAUUUAACAGGUAGCAGUAAAACUAAAGCCCCUAUAAUUCUUCCUGUGUCUCUAAAGGCCAAGUUGAAGUCUUGAACCCUUUCAGCAGCCAGCUGUCCGUCUCUUCUCUUUUCUCUUCCUCCUCUUUGUUUGUCGUCUGGUUUUGAAGCGCUCCGUGACACCAUUUGUCUCCAUAACAAGUCUCAGUAAACAGCAUGUUUGGUGGGCCCACCUGCAGGAGCUGCAGGGCUGGUCAUUGCUCACCACGGGCCUCCCAGGACUCCCCACUGAGGAGGAGGCAAUUAAGGCCUCAGAAGGAGCCAUAAAUCUCCAUAAACUUCAGCAGGCCACUCUCCCCCCACUUUCUCUGGACACUCAGAUAAUGCAUCUCCUCCUCAACAGCCCCCAGACGGACUCCAGAGGAGACCAGC